GCCGCAUGUCCCCGCACACAGGCAGGCCGAGCCGAGCGCUCCCGGCGGCGGGGCUGCCCUGGCAGCCGAGCCCCUCUGGGCACCCCCGAGCCCCCAGAGCCGCCGCACACAGAGAACCGCUGCCGGGGUCCCGACGGCAGCACCGCCCACCCCGCAGCUCCGUGACGGAGGCGGAGCGCCCGUCAGCAACGCGGGCACGCAGGGGCGGGCCGGGCUGUGCCGUCGGAGGGCGGGCGACCGGAGUAGGCCUGACGCGGUGCACGGAACGGCCGAAGAGAAGAAUAUAAGUGCAGAGAGAAGAGGAUUCAGAACAAAAUAGUGGUCAUGGACACUGUCUGGAAGUCAUCAAAUGAGUGGGGCCUGAUUGCCAUCUUGGAAAGAAUGUGCUUUAAAAUGCGUGCUCACAUACCAAUGUGGAGCAAUGUUUUUGCUCAGGCUUGUUAAUAUCUAUCAAGCUCUGUAGUAAAACAUGAGAAUGUGGAAAAUGCA